GGAUAACCUACCCUUAGGACCGGGAUAACCCUGGGAAACUGGGGAUAAUACUGGAUAGGCAAUUUUUCCUGUAAUGGUUUUUUGUUUAAAUGUUUUUUCGCCUAAGGAUGGGUCUGCGGCCGAUCAGGUAGUUGGUUAGGUAAUGGCUUACCAAGCCGUUGAUCGGUACGGGUUGUGAGAGCAAGAGCCCGGAGAUGGAACCUGAGACAAGGUUCCAGGCCCUACGGGGUGCAGCAGGCGCGAAACCUCCGCAAUGUGAGAAAUCGCGACGGGGGGAUCCCAAGUGCCAUUCUUAACGGGAUGGCUUUUCAUUAGUGUAAAGAGCUUUUGGAAUAAGGGCUGGGCAAGACCGGUGCCAGCCGCCGCGGUAACACCGGCAGCUCUAGUGGUAGCAGUUUUUAUUGGGCCUAAAGCGUCCGUAGCCGGUUUAAUAAGUCUCUGGUGAAAUCCUGUAGCUUAACUGUGGGAAUUGCUGGAGAUACUAUUAGACUUGAGACCGGGAGAGGUUAGAGGUACUCCCAGGGUAGAGGUGAAAUUCUGUAAUCCUGGGAGGACCGCCUGUUGCGAAGGCGUCUAACUGGAACGGUUCUGACGGUGAGGGACGAAAGUUAGGGGCGCGAACCGGAUUAGAUACCCGGGUAGUCCUAACUGUAAACGAUGCGGACUUGGUGUUGGGGUGGCUUUGAGCUGCUC
rnacentral:rRNA from 1 species